AGCUUUGCGCAGUGGCAGUAUCGCAGCCAGUGAGGUUUAUCUGAGGCUUGAUUAUUACUAGUUGAAGAU
rnacentral:snRNA from 1 species